rnacentral:lncRNA from 13 species
CUUUUGUCCAGUCCCAACUUGUUGUCUGCAGUCUCAUUGCUCAAACUGAUGUUUCAGAAUUGUGUAUUGUAAUCUGAGGUCCUUAAUGUCCUGCUCUCCUUUUUCUGUAUGUGCAGGCCCAGGCAGUCCUGAAGAGUUAUGGUGAAAACAGUGUCAAUGGCUCUCUUCACCUUCAUUCCAAUGGACAGGACGUGCUGAUGCUGGAGGUUGAUGUGAACAAUGAAAACAGGAGGAAUGCCAGAAUUGUUGAGCUGAGGGCUUUUCUCCAUCAGACAGUCCUGACAAACCCAGAAUCAGUACAGUUCCGGCUCAUGGGCAAAAUAUUUCCAUCAAGACUUCUGUUGUCUUCUGAGUUGAAUCUUAACGAAAAUAGGCUUCACAUGGAUUUCAUGGGAGCCAGGGAGCGAAAAGUUGGUUUUGUUUUGUCCCUAAAUGGAAGAGUCCAACACACUUUUACUGGAUUACAGGCCAUACCUCAUCUUCUUUCUCUGGAUGGAUUACUGAAGUGCAAAAACAACAAACAUGAUGGUAACAUCAAUCUGAUGGUCAACAAAAGACUAUAUGGACUCCAUGUCAGGAACAGGAACGUGUUUGGGAAUACCACCGUACACAAUAUCACUGUUGCCAUGUUUCAGAAUGGCAGUCAGGCAAUCCCAGUGGAGGCAAGACUGAAAGGACACCUGGAACUGAGUAAAGAGAAGAAAAGGGGGCUAGCUAGCUUCCAGGUGGAUGAGAAGGCUCUUUCUGUAGAUUUUUUCAAUGUCUUGGAUCGUGGGCACAGCAGAGUCAGUGGGACUUUCACACAUAAUAUCAACUUUUUAAAAAAUGCAGGUAGGAAGAAAACUCUGACUUGAAGGUGUGGUGUAACAAGGUGAAUUUAUCUAAAUGACUGCUGACCAGUGGAAAUAGAUGAGUUGUGUUUGCUCACGCUAGAACAAAAUGUGAUCCAGUCUUAGCAGCAUUCUUUU